GCGCGCUCGGUUGUCUCGCGUCGGCGAUUCCUCCCUUCAGUCAAGUUCUCUCGAGGUGGCUGUGCAGCCUACGCUCUCUGAAAAUGGCUACAACUUCAGAAAGAUCUGGGGACUUCCCUGGUGGCGCAGUGGUUAAGAAUCCGCCUGGCAGUGCAGCGGACACGGGUUUGAGCCCUGGUCCCGGAAGAUCCCACAUGCCGCAGAGCAACUAAGCCCGUGCGCCACAACUACUGAGUCUGUGCUCUACAGCCCACAAGCCACAACUCAGCCCACAUGCCACAACUACUGAAGGCUGCGCACCUAGAACCCGUGCUCUGUAACAAGAGAAGCCACCGCAGUGAGAAGCCCGCGCACCGCAACAAAGAGUAGCCCCUGCUCGACACAACCAGAGAAGGCCCGCGCACAGCGACGAAGACCCAACGCAGCCAAAGAUAAAUAAAUAAUAUAAAUUUAUUUUAAAAAAAGAAAAAGAAAGCUCUGUAUAUGGAAAAAAAAGUCAGACUUUUGGCAGAAUGCUGCCAGACAGAUCAGAAUUCAAACUUAUUUACCUGUCCGAAUUAACUAAAAGGGCAGACUUUGAGCCCUACUAUUGGGAUUUAAAGUUAUUUUAGAAUUUUAGAACUUCUUAUUUAAUAUAAAUAUAUUGAGAAUAUUUAUAUAUUUAAGAACACUAUUGUUCCCUUAAGCCCAAAUGCACAAUUGCUACAAAUCUAAUAAAUAUCUUGAGAUUGGAUGCAAAUUCAUUUGGGAGGCAAAAUGUUUCCUCAAUGCCAACAUGUCCCUUUAAUGUAUUUGGAUCCGGAUGUUUCGGCCUUAUUUGCUGGAGUGGAUGCAGCAUUAGACUGUCAGUUCCCUGUUUGCCAUUAUUUAGUAUUAGAGGCUGUUAAGCAUGCAUACUUAUUGGGAAAGUUGAAGAAAGGCUUUAAAUUGAAAAAGGUACCAAGCUGUGGUGCUUGUCCAGACAUCCUGAGGUUAAAAACAACAAAGUGACUAUAAAUAAAGCAUUAGAAUACUAAUAUUAAAAAGCACCACAGGGCUUCCCUGGUGGCGCAGUGGUUGGGAGUCCCCCUGCCGAUGCAGGGGACGCGGGUUUGUGCCCCAGUCCGGGAGGAUCCCACGUGCCGCAGAGCGGCUGGGCCCGUGGGCCAUGACCGCUGAGCCUGCGCAUCCGGAGCCUGUGCUUCGCGGCGGGAGAGGCCAUGGCAGUGAGAGGCCCGCGUACCGC
rnacentral:lncRNA from 1 species